GUGGGGAAUCUUCCGCAAUGGACGAAAGUCUGACGGAGCAACGCCGCGUGAGUGAUGAAGGUCUUCGGAUUGUAAAGCUCUGUUAAUCGGGACGAAAGAGCCUAGUGUGAAUAAUGCUAGGAAGUGACGGUACCGGAAUAGAAAGCCACGGCUAACUACGUGCCAGCAGCCGCGGUAAUACGUAGGUGGCAAGCGUUGUCCGGAAUUAUUGGGCGUAAAGCGCGCGCAGGCGGAUCUGCCAGUCUGUCUUAAAAGUUCGGGGCUUAACCCCGUGAUGGGAUGGAAACUACAGAUCUAGAGUAUCGGAGAGGAAAGUGGAAUUCCUAGUGUAGCGGUGAAAUGCGUAGAUAUUAGGAAGAACACCAGUGGCGAAGGCGACUACCUGGACUGAUACUGACACUGAGGUGCGAAAGCGUGGGGAGCAAACAGGAUUAGAAACCCGUGUAGUCC
rnacentral:rRNA from 1 species